rnacentral:lncRNA from 1 species
UCUUUAAGUAGUUGGUUCAAAGGGACUGAGCUCACGUUGUGGGAAACUGUUCAUGGAAUCAAGUUCUGGGAAUUUAUGAAUCAAAACCCUGGAAUAAACCAGCGGUUCAAUGAAGCAAUGGCCAGUGACACUGAAAUAAUGACAAGCUUUGUUGUCAAAGCCGAGUUUAAGCAAAUCUUUGAAGGGUUGGGCACAUUGCUUGACGUAGGAGGUGGCAACGGAUCGUUUUCCAGAAUCAUCUCUGAAGCAUUCCCUGGCAUCAAAUGCACUGUACUCGACCUCCCGCAUGUUGUUGCUCACCUGCCUGAGGCCGACAACUUGAAAUACAUAGCAGGUGACAUGUUUCAGUUUAUCCCUCCGGCAGAUGCCUUUCUCUUCAAGGUAAGAUCCAAUUUUAAAAAUUUAAAACAACUUCUUAACCGUUUUCGUGAAUACCAGAUUAUUUAUUUCAAUUGUUCUGUACGCAGCACAUAUAUCCGGACGUUCGAAUCUUACAAAAUCAGGAUUUAAAUGAUUCAAAUCAGAUUUAAAGUAAUUGCAAAAUGCUAUACAACUCUAAAUUUAAUUAACAUUUGGAUUUUACAGAAUCUAGAAGUUUAGGCUUGAGCAUGACCAUUUACGCAGUCAUUCUCUAGUGCGGUUGCCCGCAUUUUUUCAAGUGUAGAUUCGAAGUUUACCAUAUUGGUAAAGGCCAUCAACAAAGUGUUGGCUCCACUGGCAAUUGAGUCCCCUUAAGUGGCUUGACUGGGUUUGCUCCCCAGUUCGAGUCGCAGGGAAGUCGCCUUUGUUGGGAGAACCUGUGCCUCUCGGUUCGAGCGGGGACUUCUAGUCUGGGUUGUGGUACGGGCUUAAAGGUGCCUCCCAUAGUUGGGGCCCUCUCUAGGAUACCUCGUGGUCAAAACCAAAAAAAAAAUAUUGGUAAAGGCUUGUAUAACAUUGAAACUUAUUUUUUCAUAACUUAUAUGUAUAUGUAUAUGUAUAUAUGUGUGUGCGUUUAUAGGCGGAGUAAUAAAACGUUUUAUCUACACCACUAUAAAAUUAUUUUACAAUAUUUAAAACAACGAAUCUGCAUUCUAAAAAGUGUGAUUUGUGAAUGUAUAUAGAUAGAUGGAUAGAUAGGCACAUGCACAAACUGUUGGGAUUUUAUUAAAAAGAAAAAGUAUCCUAUAUUUUAACUAAAAUAUUAGAUCAAACAACGGAACUGCACUAUAAGUGGUGGGUAUUAAUUAAAUGAGUGAUUGGCAUGGUUGCAGUUGGUUUUUCAUGGAUUAGGUGAUGAGGAUGGGUUGAAGAUACUGAAGAAACGCAGAGAAGCAAUUGCAAGCAAUGGUGAGAGAGGAAAGGUAAUAAUAAUAGAUAUCGUUAUCAAUGCAGAGGAAGAGGGACACGAAUUAACCGAAACAAAGUUCUUGUUUGACAUUGUGAUGAGCGUUAACGCUACUGGAAAAGAGAGAACUGAAAAUGAAUGGGCAAAGCUAUUCUUCGAUGCCGGUUUCAGUCACUACAAAAUAACACCUAUAUUUGGCAUGAGGUCCCUCAUUGAAGUCUAUCCAUAAAGAAUUCAGCAACCGUAUUCCCGCAAGUCUCUUGUACUGCUUGAUGGAUAGCAAAAUAUCGUUCAAGAUUUAAGUGUAGUAGUUGAAAUGUCACGAAAUGACUAGAAAAUGAGGUGACACACGGGUUUAAAUAUAGGAUGGGUCACUCAAUUAAAAUGCUAUAGUCUUUUGGGAUGGAAACUUAAAUAUCCUAGACCACCCUUUAAUAUAUUAAGGAUAAAGGAUUUGUGUGUACUAUGUUAUAUUGCAUUUUGUUAUUAUCUCCAGCAUCUGCUCUUAUGAUUUAUCUUUACUAAUAAAAUUACUAUUUUGCUUAAGUUAUUGUGUUCUCAAAACAAGUAACUGCAAAAUAAUUUAUAUUGUUACUUUGAAUAUUUACAAUUAGGUUGUACAUUAAUGAUAAAUGAUUCAAAAUUUAUCUUUGCAAUGUAAGUAAAAAAUAAUAAUUAGUAAAAAAAUAAAAAAAGUAAAAAAUAACCUAUUCAUAUUAAUGAGUAAUAUUAUUAUUAAAAAUUAAUAUUUCAAAAGCAUAACAUCCCCACGAUUCUUCUAAGCCAAUCAGAAACAUCAUCAGCUAAGAUUGUUUGAUGUAAGACAAAAUUGAAGUUUACUUAUUUUAUUUAGUAUUUUAAUUUUUUCAAGCAGAAUUUAUAAUUGGACUUAUAUUUGGGGAUGCAUGGAUUCUCUUUUCUGGUUUACAAUUUGAAUCAUGUAUUUUAGGAGAAAUCCAAUAAUCUAGGAACCCACAAGAGCCCCAAUGAACCUUGGAGUGAAACAAGCUCUGUGGGGAUACUGUUAUUACUAUUAUGUAUUCCAUGAAACCUUUAUGUUUGAUAGUAUGAUUUAAUAUCAUGUUAUGGUUACAUGUACAGAUAUCAUAUGUUUGCUUAAGUCAUAAAAUGUGAUUGUCAAUCACCAUAUAUGUGUCAUUCCCUAUAAACUUUGUGCAUGCAUAUUGAGAGUUAAGUUACUCUACCGGUGCGAUGUAGUUAAAUUACAUCGGGUAUUGAGAGGGUUUUGUCCUGCUCUACUAAUGCGGUGAUGAUGUCAAUAAGUAUUGAGAGUUAUUUCCCUGGGUAUUAUUUGGUGUAGGUUUGUCAUGUAUGUAUUAUUUCCCAUGUUUACAUAUGCAUUACUUUAUUAUUAUUAUUAUUAUUAUUAUUAUUAUUAUUAUUAUUAUUAUAUAGAUAUAUAUGGCCGCAAGCUCAUUAUUUUCCUAUUUAUCCCUUUUCAGCCAGGAUUUCGCAAGAUUUCGUACUGAUCAAUUCUAGUCAAUUCAAGUUGGGCCACGAGACGUAUUGCCGCAUGACUUGCAUUUUGAGCACGUUUAUGUUACUUAUGUUUUUAUGUAUAUAUAUUUGUAGGGUAAGUAUAUAUAGUGAGAUAUGAACUGUGCAAGUUUUGAAUAUAUAUUUUCGGAUGAGGUAUAGAGGUUGUUAUGUGUUUAUAGUAGAGACCAUUUUUAUAUAUUCAUGAAUUCAAUUUGUGUCGCGAGUUUUAGUUAUUAGAUCGUAUGAUUCACCUCGAAUCCGACAUAUAGGUCGGGGCAAGUCGUAUCAUGUGAUAAGUGUGUGACAAAUAUGAAAAAUAUGAAGAAUAUAUUAGAAAAUACAGGGAAUGAAAACGAGAGAAAAUGGUAGCGGGCUCUUUCAAUGUGAUAUGAGGGGAUUUUCUUUUAUUUAAUUAUCCUCCGACCAUAAACAUACAAUAGCGUGAUGGUUUUCUUUGAGAUUAUCUUCUGUCUCUAAUCAACUUGACAGUGAUAUAACUUAUUGUGAUAUGCUUCCGCAUUCAAGGAUCAAAGGUAUGUUUUUGGAUAUCCUAUUAACUGUAUGUUGAAUAUGUACCGAUAUCAACACUUAUCUAUUUGAAGCUAUCAAAAGAUAGACUGUAGUUUGCAAUAAGAACAAUGUAGGUUGAGUUUUGUCAGUAGAAAGAACUUAGACAUAAAUUUUAAUAAAGAUGCCUAAUUUGGAAAAUUUGAUAUACGUUUAGUGAAUGAAAAAGGCUGCAUGUAUUUAAAAUAGCACAAAAUUUAAUAUAAAAAUUCUACGUGUUCAGUAUUAACUCCAUGGAAUACGAGAUUUUGGUGGGCACAAGCUAUAAAUUUCUUAUAUUUUCUUAUCCUUUUGAAGCUGUCAAAAGAUACAGUAUAGUUUGCAAUAAGAACAGUGCUCGCUAAUUGUUGGCGGUAGAAAGAAUUUAGAGAUAAUUUUUAAUAAAGAUGGUUAAUUUGGAAAUUUUAUAUGCGUUUAGUGAAUGAAUAGUGCUGCAUGUAUUUAAAAUAGCACAAAAUUUAAUACAAAAGCAUAAAAAAUUAAAAAAAUCUUGUGCUGUGGUGAAUUCUUUUCUUGUAAUGAAACUUUUUAUUUUUUUUAGUGAUGGCAUACUAUUUUUUAUACUAUCUUUUUUUUCUUAUACAUUAGUAUUGUCAGCCAACCGAUGAAUAAAUGGUAAAAUAUUGAUGUGAAAAAUCUUUGCCACCUUUUCGAAUUUUAUUUUUUAAAAGAUAGAGAGAUAAAUGAUUUCAAAUUAAUCUUUUAACUCUCUAACUUUUGUCAAAUUUAAAUUUAAAUAGCCAACAAAAUAAAAUUAAUUGAAAACUCUACCUCCGUACUCCGAGUGCAAUUAUUUUGACUCAAAUGAAUGUCUUAAAAAUUUGAAAAACAAGCAAGCACAUUGAAUAUAUAAAAUGUGCCUGUAUAUGCAUCACACCCUGCCAAUCACGGUGUUAUAAUAAUUGAAUCAUUGAUCAGUCAAUAUAUCUUAUUGUCCUUUUCUCGUGCGCAUGCAUCAUUACGAAAUCAAUGCUAACAUAUAAUAAUUGAAUCAUUGAUCAGUAAAUAUAUCUUAUUGACCUUUUCUCAUGCGCAUGCAUCAUUACAAAAUCAAUGCUAACUAUUUUUUAUUUUUGUUGUGGUGAAUUCUUUUCUUCUAAUGAAUUUUUUUUUAUUUUAUUAAUGCCAUACUAUUUUUUAUACUAUCUUUUUUUCUUAUGCAUCGGUAUUGUCAGCCAACAGAUGAAUAAAUGGCAAAAUAUUGAUGUGAAAAAUUUCUGCCACCUUUUCUAAUUUUGUUUUUAAAAAAAUCUUGUGCUGUGGUGAAUUCUUUUCUUGUAAUGAAACUUUUUAUUUUUUUUAGUGAUGGCAUACUAUUUUUUAUACUAUCUUUUUUUUCUUAUACAUUAGUAUUGUCAGCCAACCGAUGAAUAAAUGGUAAAAUAUUGAUGUGAAAAAUCUUUGCCACCUUUUCGAAUUUUAUUUUUUAAAAGAUAGAGAGAUAGAUGAUUUUAAAUUAAUUUUUAACUCUCUAAAUUUUAUCAAAUUUGAAUUUUAAUAGCCAACAAAAUAAAAUAACUUGACAACUCUACCUCCGUACUCUGGGUACAAUUAUUUUGACUCAAAUUAAUGUCUUAAAAAUUUGAAAAACAGACCAGCACAUUGAAUAUGUAAAAUGUGCCUCUAUAUAUAUCACACCCUGCCAAUCACGGAGUUAUAAUAAUUGAAUCAUUGAUCAGUAAAUAUAUCUUACUGUCCUUUUCUCUUGCGCAUACGUCAUUACGAAAUCAAAGUUAACAGUGUUGUUAGGUUGUAACUUGUUAGAUUAUAACUAAUCACAUUUGCAAAUAUUCAUAUGAGGAGUCAAAGAUGCUUGCAUACAGUUAGUCCACAUUUGCGAGCAAGCGUGAUUAUAUAUAAUGUGCUUCUCUAUUAUAGUGUGUGAUCAAUCAGGCAAGCUUAAUUUAGCUGAUCAUCAGUAUCCAUGGAUGCGAAUCAAGAUCAAGGAGCAAAAGAGUUGUUUCAAGGCCAAGCUCAACUUUAUAAGCUCAUGUUUAAUCAUUUAAGCUCGACGUCACUAAAGUGCGCGAUUGAGCUAGGCAUAGCGGAUAUAAUUCAUCGCCACGGACAGGCCAUCACUCUUUCUGAGUUGGUCUCGGCACUUGAUAUUCAGCCUACAAAAACGAAUGGUCUAUUCAGGCUCAUGCGCUUGUUAGUUCACUCGGGCUGCUUUAAAAAAACCAAAGUCAAUGGGGAAGAAGAAGCAUACGGGCUCACAGCUGCUUCUACUCUGCUCAUCAAAGAUAAGCCCUACUGUUUGUCACCAACUGUUUCAGCAUUUGUUGACCCAUUUUUUGUCGCUCCAUUUCAGUCUUUAAGUAUUUGGUUCAAAGGGACUGAGCUCACGUUGUGGGAAACUGUUCAUGGAAUCACGUUCUGGGAAUUUAUGAAUCAAAACCCUGCAAUAAACCAGCGGUUCAAUGAAGCAAUGGCCAGUGAUUCUGAAAUAAUGACAAGCUUUGUUGUCAAAUCCGAGUGUAAGCAAAUCUUUGAAGGGUUGGGCUCAUUGGUUGACGUAGGAGGUGGCGACGGAUCAUUUUCCAGAAUCAUCUGUGAAGCAUUCCCUGGUAUCAAAUGCACCGUACUCGACCUCCCGCAUGUUGUUGCUAACCUGCCUGAGGCCGACAACUUGAAAUACAUAGCAGGUGAUAUGUUUCGGUUUAUCCCUCCGGCAGAUGCCUUUCUCUUCAAGGUAAGAUCCAAUUUAUUUCAAUUGUUC